AAGGGGAGGACAGGGUGAGAUGUAUGGAAACAGUAACAUGGAAACUUACAUUACCAAAUAUAAAAUAGAUAGCCAAUGGGGAAUUUUCUGUAUGGCUCAGGAAACUCAAACAGGGGCUCUGUAUCAACCCAGAGGGGUGGAGUGGGGAGGGAGAUGGGAGGGAGGUUCAAAAGGGGGGGGAUAUAUGUAUACCUAUGGCUGAUUCAUGUUGAGGUUUGACAGAAAGUAACAAAAUUCUGUAAAGCAAUUAUCCUUCAAUAAAAAAAAAAUAAAUCUUUUUACUUCCCCCCCAGCAAUAUACACAGUAAACAUGAUUUUCUAAGUACAAGGUAACAAAUAGUCUAACAAAUUUGAUGACUUCAGACGUCUGCUUUCUGUUACUUAGGAGUUACAUGUAUUUAAGUUUUAAAAAAUUAUUAAUAUUCAGAAUGCCUCUGCUUCAUGGAUAAAAAUGUCUAAGAGGUCCUGUGAGGUCUUGGGGAAAAUAAAUAAGAAGUGGAAAUCCUGAUGAAAUGCAUAAGACUCAGUGUGGAAAUUUUAUAUUGUUGCUUAAUAGGUAAUUCUCUGAUUUCUCAUUCUGCUUUGGAGUCAGGAAGAUCUGAAUGGGAAAUCUUUGUCAUUUGUUGUGUGAUUUUGGGUGAGUUAAAAUUUCUGAACCUUAUUUCUUCUUUGAUAAAAUGGGCUUAUGAUAACUAGUAAAUACUAGUUCCAUUCCUCUUUUUAACAUGCUGAAUAGGAAGAAAUGGGAGAUGACUCACGAUUAUGGAUAUCCAAAAAUAAUGAAUACCACUUUCCCUGGAGUGAUUGUCUGGCAGCAAUGGAGGAUGGAACAAAUUACUUGCUGCUGGAGUUUCAGAGUGGAAAGGAAACACCACAUCAUGAAAUACUCAUGGGACUCUAAGUGGAAAGGGUCUCUUACUCCACACUUGAUUGCCAAUUGAGAACGUUCCUUCUGCUCGGAGAAAUCUGCAUGAUCAAGCCAGAGUUCACGAUCUUUUCAGGCUGUAAAUGUAUUGGGUUGGCCAAAAAGUUCAUACAGAAAUGGAGUCACUUUUUUUUUUUUUAAUGUCUUCUCUUGACUGCAGUCUUCAUGCUAAACAUUUGGUUCCUUCCUUUUUAUCUCUUUGAAAAAAAUAGAGCAACAUACCUGAAGAUUCUCUGAUUUUAAUUAUCCAGGAAAAAAAUAUUGGGUAUUGACUGUAACUCAACCACAUUAUUUUUUCUUUAGUGUUCAUAGACACCUAAGGGAGUAGGUAUUAUCAUCAGCUUGGAAAUAAGGGACCUGGUGCUUAAAGAAUUUGUGUAUCCAAAGUCACACAGGAAUGGAUGCGUCUGUCAACUUGAAAGUACAUUAUCUUUUCCCUGCGCUGUGCUCCUAAACACUGUAGAGAGACAAGCAGCUGACAGUGUUACUGUAGGGAAAUUUAUGACGACAUAGAGAUGUUAUACUAAGCUGCUAAGCUCUUAGAGUUACCAGGCCUGGGUGAUACUUUCUCAGUCUCUCUUCCAGAGUCUCACAGGGACUUAAUGUCCUACUGCUCUCUUUGUUUUUUAUUCCUGAGAGUAUUUUCACGACCUCAUUUCAAAAGGGGGAGAACAGAGUAUAGAGAAGUUUAGAAUUUAAUAACCUAACAAGGGUCUUAGAGGGAUUUCUGGAAAAUGCAUCUAGUUGUUUUAAUCAGUGAUAACUAAGGUGUCAAGAUUAUGAAAAAAAAUUUCUAAUUCUCAAGCAGGGAUUCUAGACAAAAGGAUUCUAAUUCUGCAGUUAGGGGUUAAGCUAUGGGCUUUUACUACCACUAGAGUCCAUUAAUAAAGAUGGAAAAGAACCAUAAUUUCA
ensembl:lncRNA